GGAGGUCCAGGGUGCAGAGGCCAGGCGGGGCCUCGGGGCCCAGCGAAGCCCUGCAGUCGAAGGGCGCCUGCUCCGGCCUCAGGCUGCUGCAGUGUGGGGGUGCAGCUAGAAGCAGCACGGGCAGGUGCUCCAUGCCCUGGGCCGGGCAGGUGGACGGCUGGGGCUGCAGACAUAGUGGCCUGCCCUCCCCAGCUCACCGGCCCCCUGUCGCCUGCUGCAGGCCCUCAACACCAUUUACGAGCUGCUGUACACCCAGGAGUACAGGGGCACGGUCCGCUGGGCCUUCGCAGGGGUGCUCAUGGGCCUGCUCACGCAGCUGCACUACCUGCUGGAGAUGGGCAUGGUGGAGGGCAUGUCAGACUACCAGGAGGACAUCCUGGACGACAAGCCCCUCGGGCCCUGCAGGACCUGCCUGGAAGCGCUGAAGGGCCUCUUCUGGACCACGAACUACUGGGAGGUGUUUGCCCACGUCAAGCUGCUCAACGGCUGGGAGUGCCUGGAGUGCCUGGAGACCUACCCCCAGGGAGUGACCCUCUUGGCCAGAGCUAUGUCCCACUAUGACUGUGAGGUCAAGGCCAUCCUGGGGCAAGCCAUCAUCUUUCUGAAGAACAGUGAGGAGCGAGACAACCUUGUGGCUAUCCUCAUCAUCUCAGAGGUCAGUUUCUCCCAGCCACCCUGACCUGCUCCUUACAUCAAGGAUAAAAAAGACACUGUCCUCUGAUAAAAGAUACCCUACUUGGGUCUGAUACACCAGAUCUGCUUCCUGCCUGAAAGUGCUUCCUUAUGUUUAACUCCAGUGUCUCAUGCUGUGGCGCUGACUUUACCUGGCAGUUGCAGGUGACAGGUAGAUUGAUGGCGCCAACCCUGUUCAGUUUCUCAGCAGCCCGGAUGUCUUCCAGCAUGUGAAUCAGAGGUCCAUGGUCAACUUCAUGAACCUGAACCUGAAAAACCCCAACCCGCUGGUGCGGGCCAUGAGCCUGCAGGCCCUCAGCAGCACCCUCAUGCACCCCAAGAAGAUGGCCCUGCUCCAGAGCCGGCUGCUGGAGCUGCUGGACAGCUUCCUGCAGCCCGAGCCCAACGACCCCCUGGGGCUGAUGCAGAUCCUGGGUGACAUCCUGCACCGCCUGGGCGACCAGGGCGUCGGCGCCGUCAUCCUCAAGAUCGCCCAGCACCUGCGGCUCUUCUUCGAGGACGUAAGUGCAGAGGUGCGAGGGUGCGCCAUCUUCCUGUUCGGGGAUGUCAUCCACAGUGGUGGCAAGAAGUUCCGGCAGGCGCUCAAGACCUUUGCCUUCCAGGCCCUGGUGCCCCUGCUCUUCCACCUGGCAGACUCCUGCCCUGAAGUGGUCAUGAAGACCAAGCUCACCUUCCUGCGCUGUGCCAUCUUGCUAAAGUGGGAAUUCCGGAAGGAGCUGUUCAGCAAGUUGGCCUGGGGCCGAGGACUGGGUGCCGAGAAUGAUGUUUUUAUCUACAUGGCCCUGACCUACCUGCACAGCCCCCACAGGAACCUGAAGCUGGCCGCCAUGAGGUUCAUCGGGGGAAUGCUGCAGGACUACUUUGCUGACCUCUGCUUCUACCUGAAGAAGGGUGACAUAAAAACCCUCAAGAAAAGCUUGAAGACCCUCAGGGAGGACCCGGACUCGAUGUGCCGCAGGUUCUACCUGAACUUCAUGGGAGACGUCAUGGAACUGUCCCACUAUGUGACCUGACCACAGGCCUCAGCCGCCACCAGGCUCGCCCCGUCCUGGUCCUUGUUGAGUUCUCUCUGUAUUAAAUGCUGACAGCAGGUUCGGGCCUCAGGCUUUGCAGGCCCCAUGUCCCAGGCAUUGCAGGUCCUGGGCUGGGCCAGACUGUCCCUCCACGGUCGCCA
rnacentral:lncRNA from 1 species